rnacentral:rRNA from 1 species
UGGGGAAUAUUGGACAAUGGGGGCAACCCUGAUCCAGCAAUGCCGCGUGUGUGAAGAAGGCCUUCGGGUUGUAAAGCACUUUCAGUGGGGAGGAAGGGGUGUUAGCUAAUACCUGACAUCAUUGACGUUACCUACAGAAGAAGCACCGGCUAACUCUGUGCCAGCAGCCGCGGUAAUACAGAGGGUGCGAGCGUUAAUCGGAAUUACUGGGCGUAAAGCGUGUGUAGGUUGUUGAAUAAGUUAGAUGUGAAAUCCCCGGGCUUAACCUGGGCACUGCGUUUAAGACUGUUUAACUAGAGUGCUGUAGAGGAUAGUGGAAUUUCCAGUGUAGCGGUGAAAUGCGUAGAUAUUGGAAGGAACACCAGUGGCGAAGGCGACUAUCUGGACAGACACUGACACUGAGACACGAAAGCGUGGGGAGCAAACA